rnacentral:rRNA from 1 species
CCUACGGGAGGCAGCAGUCGAGAAUCAUUCACAAUGGGGGAAACCCUGAUGGUGCGACGCCGCGUGGGGGAAUGAAGGUCUUCGGAUUGUAAACCCCUGUCAUGUGGGAGCAAAUUAAAAAGAUAGUACCACAAGAGGAAGAGACGGCUAACUCUGUGCCAGCAGCCGCGGUAAUACAGAGGUCGCAAGCGUUGUUCGGAAUCACUGGGCGUAAAGCGUGCGUAGGCUGUUUCGUAAGUCGUGUGUGAAAGGCGCGGGCUCAACCCGCGGACGGCACAUGAUACUGCGAGACUGGAGUAAUGGAGGGGGAACCGGAAUUCUCGGUGUAGCAGUGAAAUGCGUAGAUAUCGAGAGGAACACUAGUGGCGAAGGCGGGUUACUGGACAUUAACUGACGCUGAGGCACGAAGGCCAGGGGAGCGAAAGGGAUUAGAUACCCUAGUAGUC